GCUCAGUUGGUUAAGUGUCCUGACUCUUGGUUUCGACUCAGAUCAUGAUCUGAUGGUUUCUAUGGUUUGUGGGUUUGAAUCCCACACUGGGCU
rnacentral:tRNA from 1 species